CUCGCGGCGCCGCGCAGCAUCCCGCAGAGCGCCGAGCCCGCGCCUAGGGCCUGCGGCUGCGGCGAUGAAGAUCUGGAGCUCGGAGCACGUGUUCGGCCAUCCCUGGGACACGGUGAUCAAGGCUGCCAUGCGGAAGUACCCAAACCCGAUGAACCCAUGUGUGGUGGGCGUGGACGUGCUGGAGCGCAGUGUGGACGGCUGUGGGCGACUGCACAGUCUGCGCCUGCUGAGUACUGAGUGGGGGCUGCCCAGCCUCGUGCGAGCGAUUUUGGGAGCCAACAGGACCUUGACAUACAUCAAAGAGCGCUCCGUGGUGGAUCCUGCUGCAAGGACGAUGGAGCUGUGUUCCACCAAUAUCACGCUCACAAAUCUGGUGUCUGUGAAUGAGAGGUUGGUGUACACACCUCAUCCAGAGAACCCUGAAAAGACUGUGCUCACCCAAGAAGCCAUCAUUACCGUGAAGGGGAUCAGCCUCGGGAGCUACCUGGAAAGUCUAAUGGCCAGCACAAUAUCCUCCAAUGCAAAGAAGGGCUGGGCUGCCAUCGAGUGGAUAAUUGAACAUUCCGAGAGCGCCAUAAGCUAACAGGUCUGCACCCAUGCCUGGUGACACACGGGGGCAACCACCAUAACUUCCUAACCUGAGCUAAGCUGUCCCCACCUUCAGUCAGAUAUCGCACCAAAAAGAGUCAAGGAGAAAAGAAAGAAGGAAGAAUGGCUGGACAAGGAAGAGGAAAGGCAAGUGUGGACGGAAGUGGUUCCGGUCAAGACUGCAAGAGCUGGGACUGCUGGAAUCUUCCCUGUCCGUAGUAUCCCAGUCCAGCAUCAGCACCAGCAGUGCGAGGCUGUGGUUCCUGGGCGUGGUCUGGAGCCCUGCUCUGGCAGCUUCCGCUGUAGGUACCGCGCCGCCACAGCACUGGGCUGGGACAGGACUGGGCUGCACUGCCCCUGCGCUGGUCUUAAGCUUUUGCCUGCUUCCCCUGGCAGGAGCGCCACCUCUGCCUGCUGACUCCAGUCACUUCACCAAAGGAGAGCUCCCCUCUCCUCAUGCCCUGCCAGCUAAGCCAGGGUAGGUUUCCCCCAAACCUUCCCCAGGGAUCUGGCUGCUGUCCUCUGUUCCUGGUGGCCGCAUGACCUUAUUGUGUUCCACUCGCCUUUGUGAAGAAGGUGGACAAGAAGUUGCUUUCUGACCCUCAGGGUCCCCAUCGUGUACCAUAUCCAAAAUAAUGGUGUGGAGUGCUCUUCAGAGGCCACUAUAGGUUCCAGCGGUGAC